UAUAGUCAAAUGGUUAUGAUAUUACGCUCUCAACCCUCUGAUUACCUAAAAGGGACUGUACCGUGAAGUUCCGGGUUCGAUUCCCGGU
rnacentral:tRNA from 1 species